ACCCGCUGAAUUUAAGCAUAUAAGUAAGUGGUGGAAAUUAAACCAAAUGGGAUAUCUUAAGUAAUUGCGAAUGAACAAGGAUAUGCUUAGCUUGACAAAUGGAGCUAUUGGCUUUGAAUUGUAGCUGUGGAAUGUAUUACCAACAGAGGUGCAGGUGCCAGCCUAUUAAAUAAAGCGUCAAUGAGGGUGAGAAUCCUGUUUGUCAUGUGCAGCCCUUUGUGCACGGUGUAUAUUUGCUGAGUCACACUCCUUGGCAUUGGAAUGCAAAGUGGGUGGUAAGUUUCAUGUACAGGUAAACAUGCAAUUGAGACUGAUAGCACACAAGUACCAUGAGGGAAAUAUGAAAAGGACUUUGAAAAGAGAAUUAAAUGAGUUUGUAUUUGCUGAACACAAAGUAAACAGACUUGAUUUGCUUGGUGGGAGUGUUGCACUUGCUUGACAAGAGCUUUGGGCUGUGGGUGUAAUGAUUCUUUCUUUGCAUGCCAGUUUCUAUUUGUACAUCUGAUUACCUUUGCACAUGAAUGAUAAGUCUCCUGUGGGGGGUGGAUUGCAUGUGCAUGUAAUGAUUUGUGUUUUGAUAAAUGUGUCUGGUGUAUGUGUGUGUUCCUGUGCUUGGGGAUGCUUCCUUCCUUGGACUUACAAGCCCUGACACACACAUGCUGGCAAAAUGCUUCUGCUUGACCCGUCUUGAAACACGGACCAAGG
rnacentral:rRNA from 1 species